UCCGGUUUGUCAUCGGCAGUCUCCCUAGAGUUCCCGGCCGAACCGCUGGCAACUAGGGACAAGGGUUGCGCUCGUUACGGGACUUAACCCAACGUCUCACGACACGAGCUGACGACAGCCAUGCAGCACCUGUCUUACGGUUCCCGAAGGCACCAAUCCAUUUCUGGAAAGUUCCGUAGAUGUCAAGACCAGGUAAGGUUCUUCGCGUUGCAUCGAAUUAAACCACAUGCUCCACCGCUUGUGCGGGCCCCCGCCAAUUCCUUUGAGUUUCAAUCUUGCGACCGUACUCCCCAGGCGGGAUGCUUAAUGCGUUAGCUGCGGCACGGGUGAUUACUCACCCACACCUAGCAUCCAUCGUUUAGGGCGUGGACUAC
rnacentral:misc_RNA from 1 species